rnacentral:rRNA from 1 species
AGCGAACGCUGGCGGCAGGCCUAACACAUGCAAGUCGAACGAACUCUUCGGAGUUAGUGGCGGACGGGUGAGUAACACGUGGGAACGUGCCUUUUGGUUCAGAAUAACUCAGGGAAACUUGUGCUAAUACCGAAUGUGCCCUUCGGGGAAAGAUUUAUCGCCAUUAGAGCGGCCCGCGUCUGAUUAGCUAGUUGGUGAGG